GAGAGCCGGAUACCUUGAGAGGGGUAAGUCCGGUUCGGUGAGGGGUCUGUGUAGACCUACUAUGGCAACAUAGCAAGGCGACACUUUCCUACUCUAC
rnacentral:ncRNA from 1 species